ACAAAGUUGAAUUUCCCUAAGAGGCGUUGUGCCUGCUUUAGGUUCCAACUGCCACAUGUCAGCAUACCAAUAAUUGACUGUUGAAUACUGUCUGUCUUUGACGGUGGGAGGAACUUGCGGUUUGCAUGUGUGUCCCAACCCACACCCAAGAAUUCCAGGCUCUUUUUGAUGGAGUCGUUAUGGACUUUUGAUGAUCCAUCAUAAGCUUUGUAGAAAAUCAAUGGUCUAUCGUUGUAUAAGAGGUUCUCUUUGGACUGACUGACAAGGCAAUAAUCGUUGAGAUACUCAAUCAUGCGAAUUCCUCGAGUCCUGAGGGUUUCCGCUAUCCAAUUGGUGAUUGUUGUGAACAUUUGGUUUAUCUGAGCGAGCAUUCUUUGCGACACCAGUAUGGAAUCUGAUUAUGUUUUCUGCUGAAGGUAAAAUCAGUGGUGGUUUUGUAAAAUGGGAAGCUGAUUUUAUUACUUUUAAGUAGGUAGGUACUACAGGUGGUGCUAUGAGUGAUUCCCAAACGUAGUAAAGGUAGUAUUGAAGGCAGCCUACAAAUGGCAAUUAGUAAUUUUUUAUAAGAUUCUUUGAAUUUAUUGUAAGGGGCUUGUAUUUGUUAUUGAUCUUUUUGUCUCCUCCCCCUGCUUGAAAACCAGGAAAGGACAUUGGCUUAUUAGACAGUUGAGCAGAGUAGGUAUGCUGGGGCAACUGUACCUACCUACCGACUGUAACGGCAUAGCACUGCGCGCGGGUUGUCUUGUCGGCUGUGUAAAGACCGAUAACCUUGACCUUGACCUAGACGUCGAAGGUUGUGGUUCAGUGUUAUAUAUUACGGUAGCACGUUAUAACUUGUCAAUACCGCCUAGUGCAGAGUUAACGGCAACAUCGGAGUGACGAUAAAUUUACAAAAGUACCAUCAAAAACCAAUGUUAUUGUUAGUUUGUUUAAGUAACCAUUUUGUACAUGCUAAGUAAUUAUUUUGUGUCACUUGUAAUUUACUUUCUAUAAUAAACAUAUUUGUAUCUUAUUGAUGUACUCUGCCAGCAUUAGUGGAUUAAAUAAAUAUUCAGAUGACAGAGGAAUAUUGCCUACGCCCUGUCUGAUAUAUUUAUCGCCAAGAAGUUUCAAAAGUGCCCCCCUACGUGCUGCAAUACAUUCGUUCCGUAUUUUCGCUUUCUGCAAAUAAUCUGUAAUAUAUCCUGAGACUAGUUCAUGCUUAGAAUCCUUAU